rnacentral:lncRNA from 10 species
GCAACAGGAGCUUCUUCCGGUCCUGAAGCCACGCCUCCCCGGGGGUCCUGGCGAUUCAGCCGUUGUGCUAUAGCUUCUGGGAUUGAAGAGCUCCGGGAAAAGGUUUUUGGAAACUCUGAAGAAAAUAAGCAGAUUACACGUAAAUGGAGUAGCUUUUCACUCUUGUUUGAAGUAUCGAAUUUGAGAUUGGAAAAGUUAAGAUGCUCAUACUAAAAGAAGUGAUACAUAUGCUUCAAAUCUCUUUGAUAUAUAGAGACAUGGACACCAACGAACUGUGGUGUGAAGACUCCUUUGAAAAUUGGACUUCCACAGUAGAGCUUAACGGGUAAAAGCAUGCAUUUAGGAGUAAGCAGGGGGCC